CCUACGGGUGGCAGCAGUGGGGAAUAUUGCACAAUGGUGGAAACCCUGAUGCAGCAACGCCGCGUGAAGGAAGACGGUUUUCGGAUUGUUAACUUCUAUCAAUCAGGAAGCAAGAAAUGACGGUACCUAACUAAGAAGCCUCGGCUAACUACGUGCCAGCAGCCGCGGUAAUACGUAGGGGGCAAGCGUAAUCCGGAAUUACUGGUUGUCAAGGGGGAGUAGGCGGUGAUGCAAGUCAGAAGUGAAAGCCCGGGGCUCAACUCCGGGACGGCUUUUGAAACUGUGUGACUGGAGUGCAGGAGAGGUAAGCGGAAUGCCUGGUGUAGCGGUGAAAUGCGUAGAUAUCAGGAGGAACACCAGUGGCGAAGGCGGCUUACUGGACUGUAACUGACGUUGAGGCUCGAAAGCGUGGGGAGCAAACAGGAUUAGAUACCCCGGUAGUC
rnacentral:rRNA from 1 species